rnacentral:rRNA from 1 species
CCUACGGGAGGCAGCAGUCGAGAAUCAUUCACAAUGGGGGAAACCCUGAUGCUGCGACGCCGCGUGGGGGAAUGAAGGUCUUCGGAUUGUAAACCCCUGUCAUGUGGGAGCAAAUUAAAAAGAUAGUACCACAAGAGGAAGAGACGGCUAACUCUGUGCCAGCAGCCGCGGUAAUACAGAGGUCUCAAGCGUUGAUCGGAAUCACUGGGCGUAAAGCGUGCGUAGGCGGGUUCGUAAGUCGUGUGUGAAAGGCGCGGGCUCAACCCGCGGACGGCACAUGAUACUGCGAGACUGGAGUAAGGGAGGGGGAACCGGAAUUCUCGGUGUAGCAGUGAAAUGCGUAGAUAUCGAGAGGAACACUCGUGGCGAAGGCGGGUUCCUGGACAUUAACUGACGCUGAGGCACGAAGGCCAGGGGAGCGAAAGGGAUUAGAUACCCUAGUAGUC